GUACCGUGAGGGAAAGUUGCAAAGCACUUUGAAGAGAGAGUUAAAGAGGACGUGAAACCGGUGAGGUGGAAACGGACAGAGCUGGCGUAUCUGGCCUGCAUUCAGCCUUGGGCUCUCUGACGCUAUGGUGAUGAUCUCCAGAUUGGGACAUUGCUGUUUCUGUUGGGGGAUUCAUGGUGCAUUUGUAGGUGGAGUGCGCUGAGGCGCUUGAGGCAGCGGCAUGAUUUUGGCUCUGAGGCUAGCCUCGCAAGAGGUCUGGUACCCGUGCCAGAGGAGUGCUGUUUGCUUUGGGUGUUUAAUUGGGCAAUGGAAUCGGGCUUGAGUGGGCGCCGAGCUGGGGGUCGGUGGCGGUCGCGUGCGACACGUGCCUGCAGUCAGUUCGGUCCUGCUUGAGCUCUCAUCAGCCCGUCCUCGGUGUAAAAGCCGGUCAUCUGUCCGACCCGUCUUGAAACACGGACCAAGGAGUUUAGCGUGUGCGCGAGUCAUUGGGCGUUGAAAACCCAAAGGCGUAAUGAAAGUAAAGGUGUCCCUUGUGGAGCUGAUGUGUGAUCCUGGUCACUGCGGUGCAUCCGGGCGCAACAUAGUCCCGUCCUGAUCGCUUGCGAUGGGGCGGAGACAGAGC
rnacentral:rRNA from 2 species